rnacentral:sRNA from 1 species
UCAUGAACAACGCAAAAUCAACAUUCUUCCAAAAAGCGUUCCUACGAGGGAUCAAUCCUUGAUUGAUACCUAUGAAGUACGGAAAUCGUCAUACAGAAUGGAGAACGACUGCACAUUGCAGGAGUAUCGAUCUUGGGUGCAGUGCCUACCUGGCCCCUACGGGGCUUGGUGGGAGGGACUGCAAUGAUUGGUUCUACAC